rnacentral:misc_RNA from 1 species
AGCAGCCGCGGUAAUUCCAGCUCCAAUAGCGUAUAUUAAAGUUGUUGCAGUUAAAAAGCUCGUAGUUGAAUUUCGGGAUUAAUAUGUUGGUCGUGCCUUGGUACGUACUGGCAUUAUUGAUUCCUACCUUCUGAAGAACCUCGAUGUCAUUAAUUUGGUGUCUUGGGGAAUCAGGACCGUUACUUUGAAAAAAUUAGAGUGUUUAAAGCAGGCUCGCGCUUGAAUACAUUAGCAUGGAAUAAUGAAAUAGGACGUUUGAUUCUAUUUUGUUGGUUUCUGGGAUCGACGUAAUGAUUAAUAGGGAUAGUUGGGGGCAUUAGUAUUCAAUUGUCAGAGGUGAAAUUCUUGGAUUUAUUGAAGACUGACUACUGCGAAAGCAUUUGCCAAGGAUGUUUUCAUUAAUCAAGAACGAAAGUUAGGGGAUCGAAGACGAUCAGAUACCGUCGUAGUCUUAACCAUAAACUAUGCCGACUAGGGAUCGGAUGAUGUUAAUUUUUUAAUGUACUCAUUCGGCGCCUUA